rnacentral:rRNA from 1 species
AGAGAUGGAUUGGUGCCUUCGGGAACUCUGACACAGGUGCUGCGAUGGCUGUCGUCAGCUCGUGUCGUGAGAUGUUGGGUUAAGUCCCGUAACGAGCGCAACCCUUGUCCUUAGUUACCAGCACGUUAUGGUGGGCACUCUAAGGAGACUGCCGGUGACAAACCGGAGGAAGGUGGGGAUGACGUCGAAGUCAUCAUGGCCCUUACGGCCUGGGCUACACACGUGCUACAAUGGUCGGGUACAAAGGGUUGCCAAGCCGCGAGGUGGAGCUAAUCCCAUAAAAACCGAUCGUAGUCCGGAUCGCAGUCUGCAACUCGACUGCGUGAAGUCGGAAUCGCUAGUAAUCGUGAAUCAGAAUGUCACGGUGAAUACGUUCCCGGGCCUU